AAAGAAGCUAAGUGUGUUGCACUGGAAUGAUGAAAGAAAGAGUUUGAAAACAUCUCAGGAAUCAGCAAGACCUCACCCAUUACAGGCUCAAAGAAUUUUAUUUGAAAACAGACUGGUAGUAUGCCGUGCUUGCACAGGGUCACCUAAGGAACUGUUCUGGGAUUUGUUUCCCAUAUUCAGUCAUGUGGACACUCAGAGGCCACUGCAAUUAUGUUCCAACAGGGCCUGGAUACCAUUCAUACUGUGGGCAGACAUUAAUAUCCAUUUUACCUUGUUUUGCAGACAUGUAAAAAUUGAGAGCUGUUGGGUUAUGGAGGCUGCUAAGCAGAUUUCAGAAGAAAGCCUGGGAACACCUACCAAAGAACAGCAUAUGCAGGUAGCCUCCUUUCACCUGCUGCCUUCCUCCACCACUCCCCUACCCUAUCCUUCAUCUCUCCUUCCUCAAGAGCAGCUGGAUUAGAAGUCUGUGGGACCAACAGAGUGAAAAGACAACACACAAGACUUCACAGAAAUCAUGAUAAUUUUCCUUAAUACUCAAGAAGGCUGAUGGAAAAAAUGUUACUCAGAUCGGGACCCAGUGAGGGUCUCCUCUGCUCUGGCGGUAGAAUCAGGUUCCACCGCAGCCUCGCGGCUCCUGGACGCCAGACCCGGGCCCACUUCCACCCAUCCUUUCCAAGGCGCGGGAGACGGAAACGCCCAGGACCCGGCGCCUCUUGGGAAGUGGAGUCUGGAGUGGGUCAGACUCGUCGCGCAGCCUCCCCCGCGGGACCAUGGGAGUCCUGCUGCGCCUGCGUGCAGCUGCACACGCCUCCGCACACACAUACACCUACCCCAAGCGGCUGGCUUCUGUGGCCCGGCGAAGCCUCUGAGAUCGCUGUGGCUGAGCCUUCAUAGCUCUCUACCCUGUGCCAAGAGCCACAGAACAUGAACACAGCUCAGGUGAGUUCUCUUCAUUCCCCACAUCCAUGGAUUUGGGAGCUGGGAGGGUCUAUGCAUUAAAUGGAAAAGGGGAAAUCAAAAUAGAUCAAAUCACUUUUGAAGGUAAAUACAGUUUUAUCAUAAACUACCACACAGAGAACAUUAUCAGGGUAAGUAGAGUCCCUCCAGUUAAACUGUUUGCUAACAUAUUUGGCCAUGAAUGUGCAUUGAUGAAUACUUUUUUAUAUCUUCUGGUAUAAAACUAUAGCUGUUUUCUUUAUUAUAAAUAAUGUACUGGACUUUGUAAUAUUGCCUUGAAAUAUUGCCUUGAAUUGUGACAUAGACCCUAGUUGCUAAUACGUGUGAAGAAUUGUUUUUUACAUAUUUUCCUAAGAGUUUUUGCUAAUACAUUAGGACCUAAUUUCUUUUUAAAAAUAAUUAACUAACUUAUUUAUUUACGUUUGGUUUUUUGAGGCAGUGUCUCCCUUUGUAGCUCAAGCUCUCCCUGAACUCUAUAUAGUCCAUGCUGAGUGAUCCUCCUGCCUCAGUGUCCCAAGUUCUGGAAUUACAGACACAUGCCACCACACCCAGUGAGGGUUUAAUUUCUGCACUCACAAAUUGGAAUAGACUAUUCUUUUUUGUUCCCCUGCCUUAUUAUGUUAUCAUGGUUAUAUUCUCGUAGUAAGGGGACAAUUUUGUGCUCCUUUUCUAAUUUAAAAAAUGAGAACAUUUUGUUACAUAGUAUAUACAUUGUAUGAAAUUCACCUUACAAGGACUCUCUCUGUGGAGAUUUUGAUUAUUGAAUCAGUGUGUUAGUCAGCUUAUUAGUCAGUAUAUCGAUCCUGUAGUAGAUUUGUGUUAUAUCAGUAUAGUUUUCAUCACUACAAUUUUAUAGAAAAUAUUUCAUUCUUAUAUUUUAAAUAAGUAUUCUCACAAGCUUUUCAAUAGUAUGCUCUUAGAAUUUCAGAGGCUUACUUCUGCUAUAUCAGUAAUGCCUUUUUUGUCCAUCUUUUAAAUGUUGGUCUGGUGUAAAAGUUGCUGAACAGAAAAUACUGUAGUUAGUCAUAGAAUUUUAGAGUCUAAAGACCUGUGCAGUUUUUGCUGGCAGAGUUCUCUAAAUAUUGGAAGUAGAUGAACAUACACUUGCCGUAUUUGUGCUUUCUGGUUUAGACACCUGUCAGCACAAUUUGUGGAAAGCAGUGUACUUUUUCCCCUGAAUUACUUUGGUACUACUGGGACAUGAAUUAACUGCAUGGGUCUAUAUUUGGACUCUGUUUAUUGGUGACGAUUUGAGUUUAUCAUUUUGCUAAUACCACACUGCUCUCUCUACAGUAAAGUCUCUCUACAAUAAGUCUUGAAAUUAGGUAGUGUGUUUGUCAAUUUUGUUCCUCUUUAACAAUUGACGUGGCUAUUCUAAAUCUUUUACUGUUUUGUGCGGUUUUUUAAAAACCAUUUAUAUGUCUUGAAAAAGCUCACUGAGAUUUUGAUUUUGAUUGCGGUGAACCUGUUGAGUCUACUCUAGAGUAUAAAUCCGUUUUGGGAGAAUUAGCGUCUUGAUCGUAUUGGAUGUUCCAGUUUGUGAACGCUGUAUAGUGUUUCAGUGCCACGAAAGUAUUUGAGGUGAGAGAUGGUAGUUGUACAGGUAACCCUUAAAAGAAUCACUUUUUUUCUUUUCUUUACUGGAGAUUGAAACCAAAGAAGCUCUGCCACUGAGCUACACCCCCAGUUUAUCUUUCUUUUUCAUUUUGAGACAGACUCUUGCUAAGUUGCCCAGCCUGGCCUCAAAACUGUGAUCCU
ensembl:lincRNA